UACGGAGGGUGCAAGCGUUAUCCGGAUUCACUGGGUUUAAAGGGUGCGUAGGUGGCUUCGUAAGUCAGUGGUGAAAUGCUUCCGCUUAACGGAAGAACUGCCAUUGAUACUGCUUAGCUUGAAUCAGGUGGAGGCGGAUGGAAUAUUACAUGUAGCGGUGAAAUGCUUAGAUAUGUAAUAGAACACCGAUUGCGAAGGCAGUUCGCUACGCCUGAAUUGACACUGAGGCACGAAAGCGUGGGGAUCAAACAGG
rnacentral:rRNA from 1 species